UUGUUCAUGAGUUUGUUCAACCUCGUGGAUAUGACUAUAACACGAGGCGGAGGAGGCAUGGUGCUCCAAAAAACUCAAUUCCAAAUCAAGUAAAACGGAAAAAAACGUUGUUCUCGAUCGUCCUCUGAAGCAGGCCUUGUGGCCUCUGAAUCAAGCAACUCCAAUACUCAUGUGCCAUGUGCUGAAGAACCUCACCUCUGUCAUGUUAUUUCUGCUCGUGAUGUUUGUUCAUUGAAUUGGACCAUAUCUUCAGAUUUGGUGUGUCUAUUAACUCGACUUGUUACAUGGUUUCAUAAUGUACGUAUUGGAGUACGGGAAGGUUGUACUGUUGUGAGAAUGCCUCUUAGUGCUCAGACUGUAGAGUUCUGUGGUGGUGCUUAUGGAUUUCAACUGCUUUUACAUAGCCUAAACAACUUUCUCCAAUCUCCGUAUAGUCAGUUUUUGGCAAUUGUUGCACAGGUUGCAUGAUGGAGAAGUUGGAAGAAGUUGUACUUGGCUUGUUGCAAAAUCAAGAACGCUAACAAUAAAUGGAGAGCCUACUGAGUUGUGUGUCUUGCGAGCUGACUAUCCAUCACCGUCCCUUCAUGUUAUAAAGAGCCUUGUAAGUCUAUUAAUGGUGUCAUGUGUCUUUAUAGGAGGAUGAUAUUGGAAUUAGGGGUGAAAGUUCGGUUUUCG